ACUGCUGAAAGUGCUGGGAUGCUAUACUGUUUGGUGCUUGUUAUUAUUAUUGUAAGAGUUCUACUGGAAUGUGCUUGCAAAGCUGCUUGCCUGAUCUCUAAUUACUGCUUUUCUAAAUACAUAUCAGUUGUGUUCUAUUCUGAUCCAAUUUGUCUUCUUUACUCUUUUGAAUCUUUGGCUUAAUACUCCUUACUAGACCUUCCAAUAUUUUCUUCUCAUGCAGGAGCAAGCUUAGUUUCCUCGGGGAAACAGGAUAAUUUGCAAGUUUAGAAUAAUGAUAAAUCCUAGUCGCACUAGUAUCACAAUCUGAUUCUGAUGAAUCAGAACAUUGCAUAUUGAGGCAACCUAGUUUGAACUCUCCUUGAGCCACAUCUACUUCAUCUUCUGAAUCUAGCUGCAGAAUUGAACUAAUAAAUCAUAAUACUACUCUAACUAGUCAAAGAAGGAAGAGUAAAGAGAUUUAGAUGAUGUGAUAACAAGUUAAACAGCAGUAAGUCUCAAAAUCUAGUUAACAUAGACACCACAUUUAAGUAUGAAGUUUAUGCUCUUCUAUUAUGUAGACCUGCAUGAGUUGUGGGUUUUAAAGGGGUUGGUUUUCUUGGUGUUUUAACAGUAUGCAUAUCAGUUUUGAGCAUUUGCUUUUGUUGCUCUAUCUUCUUAAUUAAAUAAUUUUUGUGUUAAAAAGGGUCGAGAUCCAACACCAAGUGAGUUGCAUUUGCACGUCCAUACACAUGGUAUUGAUGAAAAAUCUUUUGUUGCUGACAAAUUCCAAAUCGUACAUGAGAUAUUACAACAACAAACACAAAUUCAAUCUGAUAUUGAUCAGUGUAAAGCAUAUUAUCAAACAGUUGGAGGAGAAAAGAAAAGAAGAUUAUAUGGUCUUUGAUCUCAAGCAAAAUGCUACUACGGGCCAAAUCUUCGUGGCUCUUUUGGAUCUGAUGCUACAUCGUCAGCAACACCUCCAAAUGCCCAAUCAACACCGACAGGGAAUCUGGAUGAGUUAGUGAUGCGAUUGAUUCCUGCACUGACAGAUGAUAUAGUUCCUGUAAUCGUUGAGCGGGUACGCGAAUUAGUUUCCUUACCCUCGCAUCAGCCAAAUACUGAUCUUACCAACCACCCAUUAGAUGUGGCAUCUACAGUUCCUACAUCUUCUAACGCUGCUAACAUUGAUGAGGUUCAUACAUUGGGUUCUGAUGAUGACCGUAACUCUCCAGGCUCGCAUAGUUAGCCUACUUUGUUUCGACUUUAUUGUUGGUCCUUGUAGAUUUUUUGUACUUAACGAUACUGUUAUAUGCAUUAUGCUAUAUAUUUUGGACCUUGUUGAAUAUA